rnacentral:rRNA from 1 species
GACGAACGCUGGCGGCGUGCUUAACACAUGCAAGUCGAACGGAAAGGCCCUGCUUGCCGGGUACUCGAGUGGCGAACGGGUGAGUAACACGUGGGUGAUCUGCCCUGCACUUCGGGAUAAGCCUUGGAAACUGUGUCUAAUACCGGAUAGGAGCCAUUUUUAGUGUGAUGGUUGGAAAGUUUUUUCGGUGUGGGAUGAGCUCGCGGCCUAUCGGCUUGUUGGUGGGGUAAUGGCCUACCAAGGCGGCGGCGGGUAGCCGGCCAGAGAGGGUGGACGGCCAAAAUGGGACUGGGAUAAGGCCCAGACGCCGACGGGAGGAAGAAGUGGGGAAUAUUGCACAAUGGGCGCAAGGCUGAUGCAGAGAAGCCGCGGGGGGGAAGACGGGCUUCGGGUUGUAAAAGCAUUUCGCUAGGGACGAAGCUUUUUGUGACGGUACCUAGAUAAGAAGCACCGGCUAACUACGUG